UGAAAUGAUGAUCGCACUGGGCUCUGAGCAGUUUAUCUGCCAAUUGAUGGAUAAUGCAGCCUAGAAAGCUAUGUCUGAUCU
rfam:Erythranthe guttata cultivar DTN x IM62 scaffold_102_contig_5, whole genome shotgun sequence.